UACGUAGGGGGCAAGCGUUGUCCGGAAUCAUUGGGCGUAAAGAGCGUGUAGGCGGUCCGGUACGUCCGCUGUGAAAGUCGGGGGCUCAACCCUCGAAUGCCGGUGGAUACUGUCGGGCUAGAGUGCGGAAGAGGCGAGUGGAAUUCCUGGUGUAGCGGUGAAAUGCGCAGAUAUCAGGAGGAACACCUAUUGCGAAGGCAGCUCGCUGGGACGUAACUGACGCUGAGACGCGAAAGCGUGGGGAGCAAACAGG
rnacentral:rRNA from 1 species